AUAAAACAUUCGUGAGUUCCACAUUGCACAUUAAUGUGUAAAAUUAAAUAAUAUGAAGAGAUAAGGCUACGGUGACUAUAUAUAUGUUCUUUAUAUCAAGUAGCUAUCCUGCAGAUUUAUAUAUUUUUUAAAACAAUUUUACCCUUUAUUUUUAAAAUAGUUUCGCAAAUUCUUUUCUGAAAAUUAGCAUUCCAGUAUCUAAUGAGCAAAUUUUUAUGAAAACAAAUUUAAUUCCGUGCAUUAUAAUUUGUAUCUUCCGCCAAUUGUGCUUUUCAAUUUUCUUUUAUUAAAAUUAUUUAAAUUAAAUCUGUGUAUUUUUGUGUUUAAUGUUGUAUUUUUUAUUAUUUUAGACCGAUUUCAUAUUUAAACAAGAGUCGGCUUCUUUUUAAUACAGACGAACCAAUAAUACAGUUUAAAUUAUUAGAAAAUUGUAUGGUAUAUAUAAUUCUGAUAUUGCGAAAAAUUUUUAGAUCAAAACAUCGAGCCUCGCCGUGUGUGGCUAAUCUCUUCUCGGAAGCAAAGCUCAUGUUUUUAUGUGACAUUUGACACACGCAAGACGCGAACCGAAGCGCUAGAUUUGUUUUCUUUUCCACGAAUUUUCUCUUCCGAUUCUCAAGGCCAAUCAGCUACUUGCCCCCCUGGCCCCCCUCCCACGGUUCCCCAGGCGACUCAGUACCGUGGCGAACACGCAAGGGGAAGGUCACGUCGUGUACGCUUCGCGAUCGUGCGUUUUUCGACUCCGCAAGAGUCGUCUUUUUAGUGCCGCGAAAUGAGAUCUCGUCGCGUUCCUCGCGUCCUCGUCGAGAGCGAAUUUCCCCGCGGAAGAUAUCGCCCGGGAUGCCGAUGUCCGGCGCAGGUAACGAAAAGUGUCGCGUCAAUUGUCUCGUCUUUUUAGUGCCGCGAGGUAAGAUCUCGUCGCGUUUCUCGCCGUCCUCUCGUCGAUCGAGAGUGAGUUUCCCCGCGGAAGGCAUCGCCGGGGAUGUCGAACCGAGUGGUCGCGUCCCGUCUGUGGGAAAUUAGCGUAAAAAUCGUGUCGAAAUUUUCGUCGCGUCGCGUCGUGUACAAAGUGACGGCCAUGUUGUGACGUAAUUAGUGCACAACGGUCGUACUUUAGGCUUGGUAGUUGACCGUCGCCCGCGUUCGCGUCGUGUCUCGCCUCCAUUCGACACACAGUUGUCCCUUCCGUAUCACGCGUUCCUUGGCGAUAUACGAGUUUGCGAUCAUCGUGGAUCAUUCGCAAACGCGGUCGGGAAACAUAAGUGUCGUCGCGAGACGACCAGUGUCGCGUCCCCGUCAUUAAUUAUAUCUCGUCUUUUUAGUGCCGCGAGGUAAGAUCUCGUCGCGUUCCUCGCCGUCCUCUCGUCGGUCGAGAGCGAGUUUCCCCGCGGAAGGCAUCGCCGGGGAUGUCGAACCGAAUCGGCGGGCAAAGUGAUCGCGUCCCUCGUGCCCCUCGCCCCUCUCGUCCGUGAGAAAUUGAUGCGAAAAUCGCUUGAGUUUUUCGUCGCGUCGCGCGUCGUGUGCACAGUGACUAUCAUGUGUGACGCAGUUCGUGUACAACCGUCGCCCGCGGUCGCGUCGUGUCGCGGUCUCCAUUCGAUCUCGUCGCGUCCCCGCGUCUUCUCGUCGGUCGAGUGACUCGAGUAUGAGUUUCCCCGCGGAAGGGGAUUCCAUCGCCGAGCAUGCCGAACCAAGCUGACGCCGUUAAUCGUGUCAAGGGCGUGUGGGCGAGUGUGUGAAUGCAACGAGGAAAACAUCAUCGGUUCAACGGCUUGGAACGCUGGAAUGAUGGUGAAAUUUAAUCAAGGAUGAUAAUGUAGAAUCAUUAGUGCACAGCUUUAACAAAAUUUCCACUAUCGAGGAUUUAUCACCUUCAUCGACAAAUCGUGAAAUGGCAUGACAAACAAUUUCAAGUUUAGGACAUGAGACACAUGUACGAAAGGUGAUGUUGCUACCGCUUUUAAGAUACUUCUUGAUGAUGCUCUUUGGAUGACUAUUAUAAUAAUAAAAUAAAGAUAUGAGAUAAAUCAAGGGAAGAUGUCAAGCCACCUUGGUUACAAUUUCUUUAUAAAUCAAAAGUUAGCUAUUUUGAUUGCGCAUAAAUACACAUCCGCAUACACUAGAUUAUUGAGAAGCGAUGAAAAAUUCCGAUACUAAUAGAGUUCGCAGAGAUCAUCAAAAGUACAAGAAGAUAUAUGCGUCUGAAAAAGAUUCCUGUACGAGUAAUAAUCCUUCUGCGGAUACCAAAACUUUAAUAAAAAAGGACAUCAUGCAUUCCACAAAAAGAAGUCGGUAUUCAUGGAGUCACUUUUUUCUUCGAAAAUUUUCGUUUUUUAAGAGGUGUACCAGAGAGGCAAGAGAAGACGAGCUUCCUCUCGGAACGGAGAUAUUCUUAUAAUACGCCGCAUUCCAAGGUCGCGGCUAAUCCGCCAAGGAAAUUCGUCAACGAAGACGAGAUGACGGCUUAGAGGUUUCACGAAUGUCCGAGGGACCUUAAAUUAAACAGGUUUCACCCGACAAGAUCUCUGCGGAAUUUUUAUUCGUUGCAAUUUAUAGUAAAACUCUUGGCAAGCAGAAUAUAUUAUGCGUAACGCUCCUUCAAAGAAUUAGAAGACUGGCACUCUCGGCACGGCGCUGCAAAAUACGUAAUACGCCAAGUUGAGGAAGAAAGACGGAAGCGGAGCAACAGCCAUUUUCAUUACCAGCUUCCCGUGCUUGUUAACAUUUUACGAGGCGCAACUUAACUCUAAAUAUUUAAGCGCACCCAUCGAAACAUUGAAGCGUUUUGUCGAAGAGAUACAUCUAAUAAUACAGUGACACACUUUAAAAAUUCGAUAAAGCUGCUAUAUUUACUUUUCUAUCUUACUGCAUUUAUGCUAUUUUCAGAAUGUAAUUACCAGCGCAUCCUUUUAUUGUGAAACUAAUUAAAUAUAAAAAUAAUACAAAAUAAUAGAUUUUAUUUGAAAGAAAGAAGAUUAGUACGGAAAGAAAGUCUAAGAAUACUUAAAACUUUAAAAUUAUUUUUUUUUAACUGUGUUUUUAUACUAUUAGGCAAACUUGAAAACUAUUAGAAAUAUCGACAUGAAUUUUUAUUUGCAAGUACAUCAUAUGUCCUUUCUUUGUUAAAACUUUGUUAGAAUCAUUAUUAUUGAUUUAUUUUUGUUUAUAAAAAAGCCAUUAAAAGAUUUCACAUAAAUUUUAAAAAAUUUCUUGUAUCUCUCUAGAAUAAUUUGUCAAAUGUUAGUAUUUUUAUUUAAUCAAACGAUAGUCACUCUCAAGAAUACAAAUAAUUUUUAUUUUUGUUUUGUUUUAUGUCCAGAAGAGCUGCCAUUUAUCUCGUCGUCUUUACGCUUUUUUUUGCAAUCUGCUAGUAAUCAGUGUAUAACACACAUAAAAAUAACAGUUUUUAGUUUUAAAAUGUUUAUUAAAAUAAAUAUUAUUAAAAUAACAGUAAAGGAGUAUCCAAAGUUUAUUAUUAAUUAGUAUUUGCGUACUUUCUAAAAAAGAAUCUCGAAGAUCAUCUUUUUUACCUUUCAAAAGUGAACGCCCCGUUAAUCAUAAACUUCUCCAAAUUUAAUCGCGUUCUUAUAUUAUGUGAAAAGACUGAAGAACCUUCUUAAACCUCGAAAAUUCAUCCAGCGACAAUGCGGCGGUCACAACAAGGGCGCAAGUAGAAAAGCAGCGAACUGCAGCAGACGCGUCCAACGCUGUGCGUGGUUUUCGGACAAAAAUAUCGGUUCGCUGGUAGUGAGUUAUACGACGGUAAGGUAUUAUUCCGCGGUAAGGUAUGGCGCGACGGCGAAAUCUGGUCCCGUUAUCUAUGCGCCAUAUCCGUGAAUUCCAGUCCGCGAAAAUAACAGUCCGAAGAAAUAACGUAUUCGCAGAGCCGAGACGCUACGCGCUCGCACGCCGCGUGGUUUUCCAUCGUUUUCGAUACUCUCCGCGCUUUCGCUCGAGCGAAGACGAGGGAUGCGACGAAUAACGCGAGUAACGCGGAGAAAGGGACGAAAACGAAACGUGACGACUCAUACAUAUGCAAGAAGUUCCAGGGUUUAAAAUGCGGCCUGAAAACCGUCCACGAUCGAGCGGAACGGCAAGAAACAAAUAAUUAUUAUAAUCGUAUCGAGCACGUUCAAUUUUCCAACUAUUCAAAUGUCGGCCCCAAAGUAAACGAACCAUGUAACAUUGUUGCUAUUUCUGAAUGUGACAUGUAAACAUAUUUUAAAUUUACAAUUUAAUAGAAAUUUACCUGCUAUGUUGCAAAAUAGCCGUGAAAAUAUUUUAGCGUUAACAUAUUUUUAAUUUAUUUAUUAAACGAUAUACAAAAAUGUUUAAUACCACGUACAUAAACAUGGUCAGAUAUACAUUUCAGUUAUUUUAAAAAUUGUAAUAACUAUAUACAUCCAAUAUUAACUAACAUAUAUCAUAAGAUUAUAAACAGCUCUCAUAUAGAAAAUUAUAAAAUAUUAUAAGAAAGAUCACUAUAUAUAUAAUACUGACAUAUCACCUAGUAUUUCUUAAACAAAAAAUUUUUUUAACAAAAUUUUAAAAACAUUAAUAAAUGUAAAUUAGAAAAUACCUUCUAUCAAAUAAAAUAGCAUUUUUUUAUAAUAAUAAGUUUUAUAUUUUAAAGUAAUUAAUGUUUUUGCAACAUAAUCAAAAGUAAAUAUUUGUGAAAUAAGGCCCCAAAACAGUAUAAUAAUCUACAUUUUUCUUUUUUUUCGGUCUUCCUAUAUUAAUUAAUAUAUUUAAACAUUAUAUCUAUAACUUUUUAUGCAUUAAUUUAAAUAUUAAUUAUAUGUAAAAUCAGAAUGGAGAUCUGAUAAAUCCUGUUUGAAUUAUAAAUAAAUUAUAAAUAAAUUGUAAGAGUUAAAAAAUAAUUAACUACAAAAUAAAUUAAUAAAAUACUGUAUUAUUCAAGAUUAAAAGUUUCGUAUAUAUCACCAUGUUUAAUAUAUAUUGAUCCCGUUCUGAAGAUGCUAUAUCUAUGAAAAAGAGGCAAGGCGAAGGUAAGAAUAACGACGAAAAUGGACGAAGAAAGGUAGAUGGGGAGAGUCAAGGGAGUAGAUGCUGUACGCAAGAAUACAAGCCCGACUAUUAAUACCCGCAAAUUAUAAAUAAUGUCCGGUACCACUACCACAAAUCAACGUUUGCGGUAAUACCAUCGGGGUUUUCGACUCGUUGGAGGAUUAAGCGCUUUGCCGAGAGACGCCGACCUGCUGCCGGAGGGAAGACGAUAAAGGGUGGGUAGGAUAAAGGCGGAGGAGAACUCCCUCGAUCGAAAACCGAAGCCCACGGGGGUGGAUCUGCGCAUUAAGCUCCAUUGAAAGAAAGUUCGAGAUCUUAAUCCUGGAAGACAAAUGCGGGGUACAUUAUCAUCCCAAAUGAAAUUCAAACUGCGGUCUUAAAGUAGCUAGGUGAAUUUUCGCAACCGGACCCAUACCAUAAUUCAAUGUGACUCUUUGGCAGUUGAUCUACAUCAACCAGAGCGUGCAGUGUCCUGUAGGUGAGAAGCAAUAUAAAAAAGAAUUUUGCGUAGGGUGCAACGUCACUCCGCUUUUAGGUGGGAAAUUAUAAAAGUAAAUUUUGACUUUUUACGUAAAAGUGAUUAAAAAAGGCAUUUACUCGUAUGUUAAAAGUUUUGAAUGAGAAAAAAAUUGGUUCCUACGAUCCCAUUCUGAUUUCAUUCCAAUUUAUUGUUAGAGAAUAAGAUGUCCCCGUGGUAUCAGACUAAGCUUUUACAUUUUGUCAUAAAUUAAACAUUUAUCUUUUAUAUCGUUUGUUUCGUUACUAAUAAAUUUGUUUCGUCAUUAAUAAAUUUUGUUUAUUAUUCAUGAACGAAAAAAGUUUAUAAAAUACAAUUCAAAUAUAAAUUUUACUACUUUUUCCCAUUUAUCACUUUUUGAGAUCUUGCAAUAUUUAUUACUUCAAAUAAAUAUACUUUUUCAAAAGUACAUUAAAAUGCCCUACACGACCCUAUAUGGCCUUAAAGUGAAUUUAUUUCCCUUUAAAAUGAUAUUGGAAUUUUUCAUUUGGCUUUAUUUGUUAAGAAAUUAGAGCUAUUUUCGUAACAAAAAAGUCAUUUUCGUACAUAUUUCGUUUCUUUUUGUUUUAAAUGGAUUUCUCAAUACUUCUCUGACAAAAUACAUGUUUAUAUACAUCAUCGUUUUCAUUAAAAAAACAAAAACAAUGCACUACUUAAUUAUUAAUUUAUUUCUGAUAGAAAGGAUUGAGUGUCCCAGAAAUUUGAGAUGACGUACCACCCCGCUUUUGUCUUUGAAGGUAAAUAAAUUCAGUUUUGUUUUCCAAAGUUAAUUUUCAACAAAAUAUUACAUUUUAAUAUUAUAAUUUUAGUAUUAUUCUUCAUCAUGUAUAAAUAAGUUAGAAUUGUUAAAGAUUAUAAAAUGAAAAAAAUUUUAUAUUCUUGUUUAUUUAUGAAACGUAUAAUGAUGAUAUUGAUAUUAAUUUUAUUCUGUAUAUUUUUUUGUGAGAUUGAAUUCAAAUCCGCAUUAUUCAUGUGAGGAAAAAGAACCCUCUUUUGAGAUGCUUCGCGCAUUCAUGUUUUAGCAUUACACAAAAACUACUUACACAUAGUUCUGAAGCUGGAUAAAAGCACGGACGGACAGGAAUGCGGAGAAGAGGAGAUGGUAUCAGCUCUUGACGUGGAAACAACUAUUGUGAGCCUCUCGCGCGUGAGGAAGUGGAAAAAAGGUGAGGGUGGAUGUUACUGCGUAGUCAUUGACAGUCGUGUGUCCAACUUCCGCAUUGUGUGCCGCGAGCGUGGACCUUCCGCUUUUGCGCGUUUAUUCGCGACCCGUCCCGGGAAUGAGAACGGCGAACGGAAUUUCACUCUGAAUAUACAGAAACAGAACCGAUAUUACAAACUGCGCCGUUCGACGAUGCGCUCGCACAUUGUGCAAUCACGCGAAACGCGAAAAAUAUACUGGUCCUUCACUUAUUCGAUAAAAUUCGGACCAAUCCCCACGGCGUUUCACCGUCAAAAAAACCGAUUCGUGCCGUAAUUGCACGUACGUAUAAAUCGUGAUUAUCAGAAACUCCAAUUUUCUACAAUUAUUACAUAAAUGACAGAUAUGAUAAAGAAAGAGCGCCUUUCUUCUCUCUCCAAACGGAAAAAGGGCCGUUUCAAAGUGUCACCCUUUUUCCUUGUUUCACGACAUUCUUUGAGCUUUUUCGCGUUUUUCACGAAAUCCCUGAAUGUCCCUCUAACAUCUCUAAUGUCCACUUCCACUAAUGUAGAUUAACUUUGAUCUUGGUUCAACUCACUCUCCUUAUCUUUUUCCAGUUCUAAGAACUAGAGAGUAAGUUGGAGGUGGAAACGGACAUAAGGCGAGUAAAUUACUGAUAAAGUACUUUGUAAGAGAAGCUCAAGUUUAGUAAAAAUAAACUAAACCCGGUAUGUUCAACCUGAUCACCGCGGAAACGCAUCGCGUUUCUCUUCCACCUAAACGAGUACAAAACAAAGGACCAAAGAGCUCGCGAUCAGUGUGUACGGAUAAAGAUCGAGGAUCCUACAAGAGGAUAUACGAGGCGGACUCGGGCAAGAGGAUCCUCCGCCGUUAAUUGGACUCGGUCUGAUGAUGUCGCCGUGCGAAUUGUCGGCCACGAAAUUACCCCGAUAUCUUCUCGCGUCGUCAUUUAGAGCCCGAGCCCGGCACAAUCGGACGUCGCUACACGGAUUUUCUUUUCCUUGUGCCUCUCGUCGCCGACGACCCCGAAGGGAGUCCAAUUACCCAGGCGAUGGGACCGACCGACGAGUUUUCGUCGGGACGAAAAUCGCAACGAGAGACGAAAUAAGAGACGCGAAGAAUAAUAAAACGUAACACCCUCGAGGCGUUUUCUCUUUUCCCUUUCCGCUUUCUCUCGGCAACAGAACGCGAGCGUUGCACGUCUGACGUAAAUUAUCGAUUUUAUUGGAGCGCGAGAUAAAUUUAACCCCGAUUCAUUGCGCGAUUACAUUUAAUUGCCUCCAAUUAAAUCGCCGUUCCAAUUAAAAUCGACGCGCGAGCGCAGAGGGUUCAUUACGAUUUAUUGGACCGAUGGUAGCGGUCCUUCUCUGUCCUUUAUCUCGUACACUCCACUCUUGCAUCAUGCAUUCGCAAAGAAUUGUACAUUUGUAAAGAAGUCAAUACGCUUCUUCGCGUACAUUUUAUAAUAAAUAUUUUUGCGUUGUCCUCUUAAAAAAAAA
rnacentral:lncRNA from 1 species